rnacentral:rRNA from 1 species
AUUGAACGCUGGCGGCAGGCCUAAUACAUGCAAGUCGAGCGGAGCGGCGGACGGGUGAGUAAUGCCUAGGUAUCUGACUGGUCGUGGGGGAUGGCGUCCGGUCACGGGCGCGAAUACCGCAUACUAUUAGAUGAGCCUUGGUGGUAUUAGCUAGUUGGUGUGGUAAAGGCCUACCAAGGCGACGAACCGUAGCUGGUCUGAGAGGAUGAUCAGUCACACUGGAACUGAGACACGGUCCAGACUCCUACGGGAGGCAGCAGUGGGGAAUAUUGGACAAUGGGCGAAAGCCUGAUCCAGCCAUGCCGCGUGUGUGAAGAAGGUCUUCGGAUUGUAAAGCACUUUAAGUUGGGAGGCGUUACCAACAGAAUAAGCACCGGCUAACUUCGUGCCAGCAGCCGCGGUAAUAC